UACGUAGGGUGCGAGCGUUAAUCGGAAUUACUGGGCGUAAAGCGUGCGUAGACGGUUACAUAAGUCGGGUGUGAAAGCCCCGGGCUCAACCUGGGAAUUGCAUUCGAGACUGCGUAGCUAGGGUGCGGAAGAGGGAAGCGGAAUUUCCGGUGUAGCGGUGAAAUGCGUAGAUAUCGGGAGGAACACCUGAGGCGAAGGCGGGUUACUGGGCUGAUACUGACGCUGAUGCGCGAAAGCCAGGGGAGCAAACGGG
rnacentral:rRNA from 1 species